rnacentral:rRNA from 1 species
GGACUACCAGGGUUUCUAAUCCUGUUUGCUCCCCACGCUUUCGUGCCUGAGCGUCAGUAUUGGCCCAGGGGGCUGCCUUCGCCAUCGGUGUUCCUCCGCAUCUCUACGCAUUUCACUGCUACACGCGGAAUUCCACCCCCCUCUGCCAUACUCCAGCAAGCCAGUUUCCAAUGCCAUUCCCAGGUUGAGCCCGGGGCUUUCACAUCAGACUUAACUUACCGCCUGCGCACGCUUUACGCCCAGUAAUUCCGAUUAACGCUCGCACCCUACGUAUUACCGCGGCUGCUGGCAC